GUUUUUUAAGACAGGCAUGUUGUUUGUUCGUUGUUAGGUAUACAAAUGUAUUGUUUUUGUGUUGUUGUAACCAUGGCCUCCAGCCGAUGCACCCUCCCUCCUCUCUCCUGAACUGGACUAAACCGAUAUAAACACCUGGAGCCGUUUACCAACACACAUGGUCUGCGUCGGUACAGGUACUUGCACGUUUGGAGUUCAGGACGUGUGGGGUCAGAUGUGUGGACAGGGAGACUUAAUCCAGGUGUAUUGGUAGACCGGUACACAUGUAUCCAGGUGUGUCUGUAAUCCAGGUGUAUUGAUACUACAUAUCUGUAAUCCAGGUGUGUCUGUAAUCCACGUGUAUUGAUACUACAUAUCUGUAAUCCAGGUGUAUUGAUACUGCAUAUCUGUAAUCCAGGUGUAUUGAUACUACAUAUCUGUAAUCCAGGUGUAUUGGUACUGCAUAUCUGUAAUCCAGGUGUAUGGCCUGCAAUCCAGGUGUAUUGGUACUGAAUAUCUGUAAUCCACGUGUAAUGGUAGGCCCUCAGACAUACAUAAUUCAGUUGUGUUGCUAGGUACAGGCCUGUACUUAAGGUGUGUUGGUAGACGAUAUAUAGUUCCUGUAUACCUGUAAUCGAGGUGACGAUACAUAUAUAGUCUCUAGCUGUGAUAGGGGAGUGUAUUGAGACGGCUACAAACCUAUACAACACAGGUGUGUUGGUGGACAGGUAGUCAUCCUGUACAUCGUUUCUUCGCGUCACUGAUCAGCUGGAAAGUCUUGGCUCGAGGCGUGAGGCCGUCGAGGGAUAUGAGCCGCGUGAAGAACCGCGAGCCACGGGGGAACCGAGGGGUGUAACCGGACCGGCAUGAAGAGAGAGGAGAAACUAACAGAGGAGAGUAGAAGAGGAGAGGCGAUGAGAGGAGAGGAGAAGAUAGGAGGAGAGAGGAGUUUAAGUGUGCUUUAUGUCAAUCUGUCUCGUGCUCCGCGGGUUAAGUGAUUUAACUGUCCGCGCGCUUCUUCUUCCUCCUCCGCCACGUCCGUUCAGCAAGCGCUCUAAUUGAAUAAAGUUGGGUGAUAUGUUGAAGAUGGGAUAUGAUCCGGUUUUAAAUGAUGAAACCGGGACGGCUGCCGGUGAAGCGAUCCCGGGGUCGGCGACAUCACGGACGGAACGGCAGCUGGCCCCUUCGCGCACGGGGAUAUUCUAUUAGCGGGAAAAUUAAUGCAAAUCUUCGCGAGGAGCCGUCUGAAAAGGCGACGGCGCGCGCACCCUCCUUCCACCUUCCUCCGCGAGGCUGCAGUCAGGGAGGACGCCGGCACGAGCCCAAGUGAGGAAGAGUUCUGCUCGAGCCUUUGAAGCUCCGCGCGCCGCACGCACCUCCUGAUUAACGGGGACGUUUUCUGGAAAUCAAUUACUGUUAACCAGUUUAACAUAUUCAACGGGACAGCGAUUUGUUAAUAGCUAUCCUAUAAAAUCUUAAUAAAAUAAAUAAUAAUACAAGCACAAUAAGAUAAUUAACAACAUUUUUAGUUACGACGGUGUGGCUACAUAAUUGCAGUACAUAAUUUGUAGAGCUGAAACUUAAACAGCUUUGCAAUACAUUCCCAUUAAUAAAACGUAAAACCCAUAGUUGAUGCAAUAUUUAAUGUUUCACUCACUGGCAGCUAACCCAAUUUGUAAUAAAAAUAUUUUAGCAAAUAAUGAUGAUAGGCAACCAUUCUAAUUACAAUAAUAGCACACUAAUAUUAAUAAAGAAAUAUUAUCAUUAAUAUUAUUAUAUAACUACUAUACUUAUUUUAAUAGUAGUAAUUCUAGUAAUAAUAGCAGUAAUAAUUCUGGAGUCUAAACGGCUGGUGUGUCCGCAUGUGUGUGAGAGAGUGGAGUCUAAACGGCUCUCGUUAGUGUGUGUGAAGUGUUUCCUUUUGUGUGGAUUUACGUCGCACAAUUCAUCUACGAUGCGGCGUGCGCGCCCGCACACACACAGACCUGUCCCUAUUUGCAUUUAAAUAGCGACAUCAACCGACGCGCGUGCCACACACCAGUGGGUUUCCCAGAUGUCACCGCAAAGUCAGAUGGGCCAGCUGUCACGCACGCAAAGACUCACAGUAAACACACACGCACGCACACGGGCGCGAGCGAACAGCCCAUCUCUCCCU
ensembl:lncRNA